rnacentral:pre_miRNA from 1 species
GCGCACUGCAACUAUGAGUUUUUUUUUCCAGAUUUGAUUGUCCGUUUUAUUUGAAAUUUUUUUAUGAUUAGUAUUGUGUUGUUAUUAGAUGAUAAAUAAGACGAACAAUUUAAGUUAGACAUUAAAACUAAUGAUGUCAAUUAAA